CUGGAUUAUUUGCUCUCUUGUGCUAGAAUUAUCCCAUGGGGUAGGUAAUGAUUGCUUAGUCAUCUAUUUCCUACCAAUGAGCAGAUGACUCCCUAGGAGACAAUUAAGGACUUUAGAGUGCAUUAGCUCUGCCAGACUAAUAGAGUGAUUUUGAAGCUUGGCUAGUAGCUCGUAGCUCGGCUUAGCAGGCUGAGGGGUCUGGAGACUGAAGGGACUAAGAAAGCAGUUUAGAAGUCUACAGCAGACCUGAGAGUUGCAGACCAUAACCUGGCAGGUUCUGCUAAAUCUGGCAGGUGUGUUCUCAGGAAAAAAGUAGCCAAUUUAUUGUGCAGACUACAUUACAAAUGGAAGAAGAAAAGGACUCCUGUUGUGGGCCACAGAUUUCUUCCUCUUCAGCUUCCUUCUCCAGAAGACCCCACCACCACCCCACCUUGUGAGAACUGUGCCAUAGACUGGCCUAGAAUGAGACCUAGCAGAGGUUGGAGCGGGCCAGCCACUGUUUUAAGAAAAAUAUCUGAUAAAAAUGCAUCUUUUUCAUAAGGGCAUAUAACUGUAGGUGUUGAACGAAUGUUAUAAAUCCUAAUGAUAUAUUAUAGCAUGCACUGUCUAUUAACAGCAGCUGGCUUCUUUUGGAGCCGUGUUCUACCUCAUUCCUUCACAAAAAUAGCCCUGGUUGUUAGAAACCCAAUAGGCCAUAGGGUUAGGAAGAUAUAUGGCUUUUCUCUGCUGGCGGAGACAGGAACUAGCUAAACAUUGAAUGGCCUUCACUUAAGCUUUGUCUUCAGGUGACUUGGAAUUUGGGGAAGCAUUAUCAAAAGGGACCUGAAGGAGGGGUGCGGUGCUUGCUUCACAAUGCGUGCAAACUCUCCUUUGAUUUUCAUGGCGGUGGUUGUUGCUGAAGGUGAGCAUGUGCAGAAUCAUAAUACAUAAGUAGAGGGAUCAGCCUAACAUCCCAGCUUUACUGCCUAAGAAGCUGAGAUCCAGGAAAAUGUCAUGUUAUGCGCCCUUGUAGGAUGUCCAGUGAUGACUCAAGAAAGCCCUCUGGUUGAGAUGGUUUAAGUGAAUGAUGCUUAGAAGACAGAAAAAUGGAACAUCGAAUAAAUUUCCGACUUCUUUUGGCAGCAAAACUUUUCUUUCUGUAACACAUUAAUUUCUAGAUCUUCCAAUAAAAAAGCAGAUAAAAGUUGAUAAAUCCAACUUAGCAUUUAGAUGACUGUACUUUAUUGUUUGCAGAACCCAUCAUGCACACACCUCUGCAGAGCUCUAGGGGUUAAAGAAGUACAUUUUGAAAAACACUGGACUAGAUUAGCUCUGUGUGGCAGAAACAUUCGCUUGCCCUCUGAAUGUCGGGCACCUCCCCAUAUUUCCCAGGGUCUUGACAGCUACACAGCGUCCUGUGAGCAGUUUGGGCCAAUGAGCUAUAAGGAGAAAUGAUGAGUGUCAAUUCCAAGCUGAAACGUGGACACGGAUAUGAAUUGUCUUUGUGUCCCUCUUCCCUGAUGUCAUGAUGGGGGAGCUAUGCAGCAACAAGAAGCCAGAGCCUCCAUCAGCCUGGGUCCCUGAGUGUCAGUGAGGAGGGAGUCGUUUGCCAAAAUCUGCACUGGACAGCCAGUGUGAGCAAGAGACACUGAUGUUCGCUACCACAGCACAAACCAGCCUACCCGAACAAUCUCAGAAAUGAAAUUCUCUGGUUCCUGGGCUUUUUUUAAUGUCUUUAGUCCUCUUUUCUCUAAUCUGCUUUCUUUUAGAGGCAAACACAGUUCCAGCAUGCUGCAUACCAGCUCAAGAGUGUUAAUGGAUUACACUAAAAUGACUUUGUGGAUACGAUACGCAAGAACGUUUUUUAAAGUCCUAACAUUGCUGUCAAAAUUAUGUUUUAGCUGUUGUGCCCCAUUUUCUGAGCAGUCAGUUGGCUUAUUAAAUAGAAAAGGGUUCCCACACAAAAUAAUUUCUGAGAGAGUCACGCAGUGAGGCUCUUAUAAUAACUCAUAUAAGAGACAUUAAACAACAAGCAAACAAUAUCUAUUGAGUGUCUCCUGUGUACUAGGCACUGUGCUUGUAAUUACAGGGAGUAGAGCAUAGAGCCUAGAGCCUAGAGGUUCAGGAUAGGAAGUCUGAUAUCCAAUAACUUGCGUCCAAAAUCCAACUCUGCCACUUUUUGAUUUGCAAGUUACUCCUCUCCCUAGGCAUGGGGACUAUCAUGUGACUAAUAAUGCACACUCUUCAGGGUUGCUAUGGCUUGAAUUAAUACUCCCACACAAAGCCUAGCCACAGUAAGCACAAAACAAAUGUCAGAUAAUAUUUUUGAUUGGGUUACUUUAACCAACUCUAUCAUCAAGAUUGAAAUUUUCUUUCUGUUUUAUCAAAAAAUGCCUUGUUAGUAUUAGGUCACUAAUCAAUUUCUUAUGCAAAAGUAUAAAAACAUGAAGACUAUUUAGCUUUAUUAGAACAUGUUUCAUGAUCGAAGAUCUUUUCUUGAAGGACAAUCAGGAACUGUUUUUUUCCUUUUUUUGCUUUUUUCUUUUGGUGAGGAAAACUAGCCCUGAGCUAACAUCUAGCCAAUCUUCCUCUGUUUUGUAUGUGGGAUUCCACAACAGCAUGGCUGGAUGAGCAGUGUGUAGGUCUGUGCCUAGGACUUGAACCUGCAAACUCCUCGCUGCCAAAGUGGAGUGCAAGAACUUAGCCACUACGCCAGAGGGCCAGCCCCAGGAAUAUUAUUUUAGAGCCCUCUCUUUCUUCAUUUAAUCACCUCAAUAUAAAAUAACUUCGUCCAAAAGCAACCAAAGUGAUUAAUCUUCACCUCGCAAUCUGUUAAUGGGCUGCUGUGUAUUUUAUUAAUUUGAUUCAUAGAUUGCACAAAAUAUUUUCCAUCAUAUCUAAUGCAAUAUUUCUUUUCUGUUCAUUAACAUUUGAGACUAACCAUGGCAGAACUAGUUAAACAGAGAUUAUUUUCGUCACUUUCUAGAAGUAAAGAAAAUAACUCAAAAUAGUGAAAAAAAUCCAGUUGAUGUCCAAAGUUCUCUGUGGUUGCAGAUAGGAGAUAGGAAGGCAAUUGUUGUAUAACAGAAGAAUAAUGAUUGUAUCCUGGGAAGACACAAGUUCAAGCACUAGCUUGGCCCUUCAGCCUUAUAUGAUAGUGAGCAAAUCAGCUCAGUUCUUUGAGCCUCAGUUUCUUCACAUGUUAAAUAGGCAUAAUAUAAUCUUAAUUUAAAAGACUAUUUGUGGGACAACUGGGUAUUCACAUGUGAAAGAGUGAAAUUGCACCCCUACCUCAUAUCAUAAACAAAAAUAAACUCAAAGUGGAUCAAAGAUCUAAAACUGGGCCUGGCCCUGUGGCCUAUUGGUUAAGUUUGACGUGCUCUGCUUUGGCAGCCCAGGUUCAGCUCCUGGGCAUGGACAUACACCACUCAUCAGCACCCAUGCUGUGACAGUGACCCACAUACAAAAUAGAGAAAGAUUGGCACAGAUGUUAACUCAGGGCAAAUCUUCCUCAAGCAAAAAUGAGGAAGAUUGGCAAUGGAUGUUAGCUCAGGUGAAUCUUCCUCAGCAAAGAAAAAAGAAAAGACCUAAAACUAUAAAAUUCUUAGAAAACAGGUAUAAAUCUUCAUUACCUUGGAUCAGGCUGUGGUUUCUUAGAUGCAACACUGGAACCAUAUACAACAAAAUAGAUAAACAGGACAUCUUCAAGAUUAAAAACUUCUGUGCUUCAAAAGGCACCAUCAAGAAAGUGUAAAGACAAGCCACAGGGUGUACCAUGGUGUGAAUGUUUGUGUCCCCCCAAAUUCAUAUGUUGAAAACCUAAUGCCCAAGGUGACAGUAUCAGGAGGUGGGGCCUUUGGGAGGUGAUUAGGUUCAUGAGGGCAGAGCCCUCCUGAAUGAGAUUAGUGGCCUGAUAAGAGAGGUUCCAGAGAGCUACCUUGCCACCUUGCUCCAUGUGAGGGCACAGCCAGAGUCAGCAGUCUGCAGCCUGGCCCUUCACUGGAACUCAACCAUGCUGGCCCUCUGAUCUUGGACUUCCACUCUCCAGAACUGUCAGAAAUAAAUUUCUGUUGUUUAAAAGCCACUCGGUUUAUAGUAUUUUGUUAUAGCAGCCUGAAUGGGCUAAUAUAGGAUGGGAGAAAAGUUUUGCAAGUCAUAUAUCUGAAUAGGGACUUGUACCCAGCAUAUAUAAAGAACUAAUUCAACUCAUUAAUAAAAGGACAAAUAACCCAAUUUUAAAAAGAGCAAAGGAUCUGAAUAGACAGUUUUCCAAAGAAGAUAUACAAAUAUCCAAUAAGCACAAGAAAAGAUAUUCAGUGUAAUUAGCCAUCAGGGAAAUGUAAAUCAAAAUUAAAAUGAGAUACUUCACACCCGCUUGGAUGGCUUUCAUCAAACUGACAGAUAGUAACAAGUGUUAGUGAGGAUAUGGAGAAGCUGGAAUCCUCAUACACUACUGACAGGAAUGUAAAUGGCACAGUUGCUUUGGAAAAUAGUCAGGCAGUUCCUCAAAUGGUUAAGCAUAGAGUUACCACGUAAUCCAGAAAGUCCACUCCUAGGUAUACACCCAAGAGAAUUGAAAAUAGGUCUUCCAGUAAGAACUUACAUGCAAAUGUUUAUAGUAGCAUUCUUCGUAAUGGCCAAAAAGUGGAAACAACAGGUGUCUAUCAUCAGCGAGUGGAUAGAUAAAAUGUGAUAUAUCCAAACAAUGGAAUAUUAUUUGGCGAUAAAAAGAAGUAGAAUACUGAUAAUGCUACAACAUGGAUGAACCUUGAAAACCUUAUGCUAAGUGAAAGAUCCCAGAAACACAGACUACAUAUUGUAUGACUGCAUUUAUAUGAAAUAUCCAAAAAAGCAAAUCCGCAGAGAGAAAGCAGAUUAGUGACUGCCUGGGGAAUGGGACGACUGAGCAAGCAAUGGCUGAGGGGCUUAGGGCUUCUUUUGGAGGCAAUGAUAAUAUUUUAAAUAGAUUGUGGUGAUGGUUGCACAACACUGUGAAUAUAAUAAAAGCCUUUGAAUCUUACACUUUAAAUUGUAUUCUAUGAAAUUGGUGAAUUGUAUGGUACGUGAAUUAUAUCUCAAUGAAAGCUGUUUAAAAAAGGCUAUUGCGAAGAAUAACCAAGGUGGUAGUAUGACUCUUAGAACACAAGGCAGGUGUGUAAAGAAAUACAGCUUUUUAAAUACUCCAUAAAAUAUCCAAAUUCCUGAUUCUGAGGUCCUGUUCUUUUGGGCCAGCUGCAAAUUCUAUAGGAAUAAUUAAUUCUGAG
rnacentral:lncRNA from 1 species